GGACCUGACUGCUAUCGGAUUGAUACUAAGCCAUGCGAGUCAUUGUAGCAAUACAAGGCAUACGGCUCAGUAACGCGUAGUCAACCUAACCUAUGGACGGGAAUAACCUCGGGAAACUGAGAAUAAUGCCCGAUAGAACAUUAUGCCUGGAAUGGUUUAUGUUCCAGAUGAUUUAUCGCCGUAGGAUGGGACUGCGGCCCAUCAGUUUGUUGGUGAGGUAAUGGCCCACCAAGACUAUUACAGGUACGGGCUCUGAGAGGAGUAGCCCGGAGAUGGGUACUGAGACACGGACCCAGGCCCUAUGGGGCGCAGCAGGCGAGAAAACUUUGCAAUGUGCGAAAGCACGACAA
rnacentral:rRNA from 1 species